rnacentral:rRNA from 1 species
UACGUAGGGGGCAAGCGUUGUCCGGAUUUAUUGGGCGUAAAGAGCGUGUAGGCGGUUUGGUAGGUCCGUUGUGAAAACUCGAGGCUCAACCUCGAGACGCCGAUGGAAACCAUCUGGCUAGAGUCCGGAAGAGGAGACUGGAAUUCCCGGUGUAGCGGUGAAAUGUGUAGAGAUCGGGAGGAACACCGGUGGCGAAGGCGGGUCUCUGGGCAAUUCCUGACGCUGAGGCGCGAAAGCGUGGGGAGCAAACGGG